rnacentral:rRNA from 1 species
GACGAACGCUGGCGGCGUGCCUAAUACAUGCAAGUCGAGCGAGUCUGCCUUGAAGAUCGGAGUGCUUGCACUCUGUGAAACAAGAUACAGGCUAGCGGCGGACGGGUGAGUAACACGUGGGUAACCUGCCCAAGAGAUCGGGAUAACACCUGGAAACAGAUGCUAAUACCGGAUAACAACAGAUGAUGCCUAUCAACUGUUUAAAAGAUGGUUCUGCUAUCACUCUUGGAUGGACCUGCGGUGCAUUAGCUAGUUGGUAGGGUAACGGCCUACCAAGGCGAUGAUGCAUAGCCGAGUUGAGAGACUGAUCGGCCACAUUGGGACUGAGACACGGCCCAAACUCCUACGGGAGGCAGCAGUAGGGAAUCUUCCACAAUGGACGCAAGUCUGAUGGAGCAACGCCGCGUGAGUGAAGAAGGGUUUCGGCUCGUAAAGCUCUGUUGUUGGUGAAGAAGGACAGGGGUAGUAACUGACCUUUGUUUGACGGUAAUCAAUGAGAAAGACACGGCUAACUAAGUG